CUGCAAUGAUGGCACUAUUUUCACCUCCUGUGUGUUGAUAUUUUGGGUCUGAGUGA
rnacentral:snoRNA from 1 species